GACGAACGCUGGCGGCGCGCUUAACACAUGCAAGUCGAGCGACCCUUUCCCAUGAGAGCUUGCUCAAUUGGGGCUUACAAGGGGAGCGGCGAACGGGUGAGUAACGCGUGGGUAAUCUACCUCAAAGACCGGGAUAAUCUCGCGAAAGCGGGGCUAAUACCGGAUAGUAAUAAAACUACAUGGUUUUUAUUUAAAACUCCGGUGCUUUGAGAUGAGCCCGCGUCUGAUUAGCUUGUUGGUGAGGUAAAGGCUCACCAAGGCAACGAUCAGUAGCCGGCCUGAGAGGGCGAUCGGCCACAUUGGGACUGAGAUACGGCCCAGACUCCUACGGGAGGCAGCAGUGGGGAAUCUUGCGCAAUGGGCGAAAGCCUGACGCAGCGACGUCGCGUGGAGGAUGAAGGCUUUCGAGUUGUAAACUCCUGUCAGAGGAGAAGAAAUCCCGAGUAAUCGGGAUUGACGGUAUCCUCAGAGGAAGCCCCGGCUAACUACGUG
rnacentral:rRNA from 1 species